AAAGAACAAUGACAGGACCCUCCACCUCCAAAGGUCUGCAAAAGCCAUCGACAGCCAGAGAAAGAGAAAUGCAAGAGGCUAAAGGUCUAAAUAGGGAGGAAGAUUUGCUUUCUUGGACAAAUG
rnacentral:lncRNA from 1 species